AAAGCUUUUACUCUAGAUCUAAACAUCCAGUGACAGAGAUAAUAGUCACUUAUAAAGAUUUCUCUAGCAAAAAGUUUGUAGCUUUGGCAAUAGAUCCAAAAUAGUAAAAUUUGUCUAUAUUCCAAAUUUUAUUGAUAACAAGCUGUAAUCUCUGACUCCUAUAACAUUUCAAGCAAUGCUUACAGAGCCUCCAUCGAUGAUGUAAGCAAAAUGCUCGAGAUUAGCUAAUGUACUACCAUAUACACAUGACUGACUCAAUGAAAUCAUUUCUCUUCCCUUUUGGCAAUAACCAUAAUUAGUUUGUCAUGCAUUUCAUAAUCUAUUUAUAAUAUAGCAUUGGAAUUUAUCCGAUUAAGUUCAUCCAGAUUUGAUCUACACUAACACAUAUGGGAAUUUAUUUAACGUAUUUUAAUUUGAUAUAGACUCUAAAUAUAAAUAUCCG
rnacentral:lncRNA from 1 species